UCUGCCAGCAGGUCCAGAUGUAGGACUCUCAGCUCCUUCUCCCGCACCAUGUCUGCCGGCAUGCUGCCAUGCUUCUCACCAUGAUGAUAAUGGACUAAACCUCUGAAACUGGCAGAAAUUCAACACACGUUGUAGAGGUGGCAUGCCUGUCCGUUCCUCAGAAAUGAAGGCAUCCCAUCCUCUUUGAAGUCUGAAGUUGAGCUUCUUAAGUGGGUAGCUGUUCCAGCUUUGACCUAGAAGUACUACCCCCAGUGAGGCUUCCAGUAACUGUCACGCCUACCUAUGACCUGCCCCUGAGACGGGAGUCCUUAAGACCUGAGAUCCAGAUGUGCUGGCUCUCUUGGUUCCUGGUGAUCAUGGAUGCUGAAUGGUAGACGGAGCAGAGUUCUCCAGAGAACACCGCUGGACUACACCUCACCUCUCCCAGAUCCUGUAACCAAUCCCUUUACUUGCUGUAAAUUACCCCCAAAUAAACCUCCCUUUUAACUACAUGGAGUUGCCUUAAUAAAUCCCCACAAUACUCCACCAAAAUGUGACCGACGCAUGCUUCAAGCCCUCCCCACCAUGCCUUUCCCACCAUGGCAGACUGGACCAUCUCAAAUUGUGAGCCCAAAUAAAGCCUUCUUCCCAUAAGUUACCCCUGACAAGUGUUCUGUCAUGGUGGUAAGAAAAGCUACAUAACAAUGACUACAGUUUUCCUGGGAAUAUAGGUCAGUAGUUGAGAGCUUGCCCACUAUGCACGUGGAUAAGGCUCGGGAUUCAACCUCUGGGAUUUCAGCAAACAGGUUCAAUUCUGUUUGUUGUCUUAUUGGUGCUUAUUGUCUAGCAGGGAGGACAGAUAGGUAAGCAAGAUAUGCCAACAGAAUGUAAAGGUUUGCAAACAGGCAAGUCCAAAGGGUAUGGACCCUGUAGAGGGACCAUCUAAUUCAAUUUUCGGUGGUGCUAAAGCAGAGGCCUGGAGGAU